GACGAACGCUGGCGGCGUGCCUAAUACAUGCAAGUCGAGCGAACAGACGCGGAGCUUGCUCCUCUGACGUUAGCGGCGGACGGGUGAGUAACAUGUGGAUAACCUACCUAUAUGACUGGGAUAAUUUCGGGAAACCGGUGCUACUACCGAAUAAUAUAUUGAACAGCAUGGUUCAUUAGUGAAAGCCGGUUUUGCUGUCAGUUUUAGAUGGAUCCCGGCCGCAUUAGCUGGUUGGUAUGGUAACGGCUUACCAAGGCAACGAUGCGUAGCCGACGUGUGAGACUGAUCGGCCACACUGGAACUGAGACGCGGUCCAUGCGCCUACGGGACGCAGCAGAAGGGAAUCUGCCGCAAUGGUCGGAAGCAUGACGGAGCAACGCCGCGUGUGUUAUGAAGGUCUUCGGUUCGUAAUACUCUGUUAUGAGUGAUGAACAAAUUUGGAAGUAACUGAACACGGCUUGACGGUACCGAAUCAGAAAGCCACGGCUAACUACGUG
rnacentral:rRNA from 1 species